UACGUAGGGUGCAAGCGUUGUCCGGAAUUAUUGGGCGUAAAGAGCUCGUAGGCGGUCAGUCGCGUCUGCUGUGAAAACUCGGGGCUUAACUCCGGGCCUGCAGUGGGUACGGGCUGACUAGAGUGCGGUAGGGGAGACUGGAAUUCCUGGUGUAGCGGUGAAAUGCGCAGAUAUCAGGAGGAAUACCGGUGGCGAAGGCGGCAUCCUGGACCGGCAUUGACGCUGAACAGCGAAAGCUAGGGGAGCAAACGGG
rnacentral:rRNA from 1 species